AGAAAAAGAAAUUUAUUAUUUCUUAUUUAUUUGUAUAAUUAUAUUAUUAAUACAUAAUAAUAGACCUUUCUCAAGCUCAAAUAUUUUAUUGUAAAAGUAACAAAAACAAGAAGCUAGAAAUUAGUUUGUAGGGUUAGCCUUAGGAGGGGGGCUAUAACGGCAACAUGGGGCAGGCCUAUAGCAUGGUAAAAAUGGCAAACAAGCUCGUUGGUCAUCCCCUUGGACACUUCCACUUAGUGUGCUCACAACAGCAAAAACCAAUACCAUUAGCUUCAUCAUCAUCUUCAAAUAACUUUCCAUUUUUAAUCAACUUGCCAAAUAGGAUCAAUUGUUAU
rnacentral:lncRNA from 1 species